rnacentral:rRNA from 1 species
AGUGAACGCUGGCGGUAGACCUAACACAUGCAAGUCGAACGGCAGCACAGUAAGAGCUUGCUCUUACGGGUGGCGAGUGGCGGACGGGUGAGGAAUACAUCGGAAUCUACUUUUUCGUGGGGGAUAACGUAGGGAAACUUACGCUAAUACCGCAUACGACCUACGGGUGAAAGCAGGGGAUCUUCGGACCUUGCGCGAUUGAAUGAGCCGAUGUCGGAUUAGCUAGUUGGCGGGGUAAAGGCCCACCAAGGCGACGAUCCGUAGCUGGUCUGAGAGGAUGAUCAGCCACACUGGAACUGAGACACGGUCCAGACUCCUACGGGAGGCAGCAGUGGGGAAUAUUGGACAAUGGGCGCAAGCCUGAUCCAGCCAUACCGCGUGGGUGAAGAAGGCCUUCGGGUUGUAAAGCCCUUUUGUUGGGAAAGAAAAGCAGCAGGUUAAUACCCCGCUGUUCUGACGGUACCCAAAGAAUAAGCGCCGGCUAACUUCGUG